ensembl:snRNA U6 U6 spliceosomal RNA
GUGCUUGCUUCAUCAGCACAUAUACUAUACUUGGAACAAUACAGAGAAGAUACGCAUGGGCCCUGCACAAGGAUAACAUGCAAAUUCAUGAAGAGUUUGGUAUUUUU